rnacentral:rRNA from 1 species
GAUGAACGCUGGCGGCGUGCCUAAUACAUGCAAGUCGAGCGAACGGACGAGAAGCUUGCUUCUCUGAUGUUAACGGCGGACGGGUGAGUAACACGUGGUUAACCUACCUAUAAGACUGGGAUAACUUCGGGAAACCGGAGCUAAUACCGGAUAAUAUUUUGAACCGCAUGGUUCAAAAGUGAAAGACGGUCUUGCUGUCACUUAUAGAUGGAUCCGCGCUGCAUUAGCCAGUUGGUAAGGUAACGGCUUACCAAGGCAACGAUGCAUAGCCGACCUGAGAGGGUGAUCGGCCACACUGGAACUGAGACACGGUCCAGACUCCUACGGGAGGCAGCAGUAGGGAAUCUUCCGCAAUGGGCGAAAGCCUGACGUAGCAACGCCGCGUGAGUGAUGAAGGUCUUCGGAUCGUAAAACUCUGUUAUUAGGGAAGAACAUAUGUGUAAGUAACUGUGCACAUCUUGACGGUACCUAAUCAGAAAGCCACGGCUAACUACGUG